GAAAGGAAUUGUAUAUUUCAUUGAAAAAAGACAAGAAAUAACUUACAUGUAAUAUUAUUAAAUUUUCCAGACAUAUCAUUACUUUUUAACAUGAGAUGGCAAACUAGAGGUUUUAAAAAGUCCUGAAUAACUGAAAUGGACAAAAAUACACAGAUUUAUUCAGAAUGUCAUACCGAUGAAGAUCACAUAAAAAUAUUUGGAAAAAUCAGAAAUAUGGAUUUCAAUAUGGGACAAUAUCCCUAAUGCGCCUUGAAAUGAGGAACUCAAAAGUCACGUGUAAAGAAAAAAUCUCUGUGGAGUGAUA